UCUCUUUAACAGCCGUGCAAAGGAUGUCAGCCUGUCGCCUUUCGUCACAUCGCGGAUGGCCAUACCUCCCAUAAGGCAUAUCUAUGGAGAUGCAUAAAGCCAAAAUGCACAAAGCCAAUUGUUCAUUCACGAUGGAAGUUUGAAAAAUUGCAGGUCUUGUUCUCUGUUUCCCUUGAUACUUAGAUGGACUUAGUUGUGGUGCUUGGCUUGUAUCCUUCUAAGAUUCACGGAAGUUAUCCAUACAAGUGACAGGUUUUACCAAAUUGCAACAGCAAAUCAAGUACCUAGAAUGAAUUUGUUGCGGCAAACAUAAGGAACCAUAUGGAACCUCUAAGAAGCUUGUCUCUAUUGGUAAUCUUACCAUCUUUCAUAUAUAUGACUAGAUUUUCUAAU